UACGGAGGGUGCAAACGUUGCUCGGAAUCAUUGGGCGUAAAGCGCAUGUAGGCGGCAUGUUAAGUCGGGUGUGAAAGCCCAAGGCUCAACCUUGGAAGUGCAUUCGAAACUGGCGUGCUUGAAUAUGGACGAGGGUCGCGGAAUUCCCGGUGUAGAGGUGAAAUGCGUAGAUAUUGGGAGGAACACCAGUGGCGAAGGCGGCUCACUGGACCGGUACUGACGCUGAUGCGCGAAAGCGUGGGGAGCAAACGGG
rnacentral:rRNA from 1 species